AUCUCUGGGAACUUGCAAACACAAGCCCCCUGGGGUCUGCCUGCAAAGUGAGACAUGGAAACCAGAAGUCGCCAAAGGACACAAAGCUGAGGAAGCUGCAGAACUUGAUAUUAGGGGAUAAGACUGCCUCCUUACCCCAGCCUUGUUAGCUGCUCUCAGUCUGAAGCUGUACAUCCUCCCUGGAAGAAGGCUGCCCACAGUGCAUUCAACAUCAGAACCCUGGUAAACCUCUCUGUGUUCAUCAUUUUCUGCCUGAAACAUUUCCAGACCAUAACAGCUGGAUUCUAUGUGUGUUCAAGAAAGAGUGGACUGGAUGAUCUGCUGCUUUUCAGCUCCUUUGAAUAUACUGUUGCACUGAACAACUGCUGCUACUUAAAAGUUUUGCAUAUGUUAAUGAGAAGCUGCAGAAGAGUUAAUUACAUCUUCAUAGAUCUUCUGUUGAUUUCUGACACCUUCAGAAAGUAUAAGAACUUUCUGGAAAUUAUUUUUCUCUUUGGUACUUAAGGUUAAUUCUAAAAUCAUGGGGUUGGGCUGUAGGGAAGUACAGAACAAAAGGCAGAACAAAAGUCUCCAAAGACUUGUGGACUGAUGACUGGGAAAGCACUGCAAGCCAAGCCAGCAUUGAAGGAGUCCAGAUUUAUUCUUAAGGCAAGGUGGCUGUAGUCAAGGUUAUCCUUGCAGGACACUUCUAUGUGGAGGAAGAGCACAUACAUUUCAUGUCACAAGGCAGGGCUGGGUAGAAAUCACACACACCAAGAAUGGAAGGCAUUAAGGUUUUUGUGAGAGCAGCUUGCCGGGAAAGCCCUGCUGGAAGUCUGCAGAGAGCCAGGGCUGGCUUUGUUGCACUUGUUGCUGAGAACGCAGAGCAAAUACAGCAAGACAUUUUGGCACUGGCAGUUGAAUUACACCACAGAACUGACAGUGCACAUGUGUGUGUGUGCAAUGUGUGUGUGUAAAGGAGAAUAGUAUGGCACAGCAAAUUGUGUGGGAAUACUGAAAAGCAGGGCAAUCUAAACAUUUUAACUGUGCUUGAGAGAGCAAGGGAAGCACAACCUUGUAAAGCUUGAGUGAAGACUUCUUCCCCUGCCUGCUGGGGUAACUUGGCUACUCAGACAAGUAGGAAAUACAUUAAAUUCAUAGAAUCACAGAAUCUUCUGAGCUGGAAGGGAUCUACAAGGAUCAUCAAAGUCGAGCUCCUGGCCCCAAGAGAGCCCCAAGAAUCACACUAUGUGAGAAACCAUUGUCCAAAUGCUUCGUGAACUCUGUUAUGCUUGGUGCUGUGACCAAUUCCAUGGGGAGCCUUUUCAAGUACCCUUCUUAAACUGCUGUACUGGGAUAGGCCUUAAUAAAUAACAUUGUAUAAAUGUAUCACAUAGGAAAAGUAUCUGUUUCUGUAAAUAAGACUAUCAUGUCAAACAAAAUAUAUCAGGAAAGAAUACUUAGAUAUUUUUCUUUAACAAAUGAGCAGAAACUCGAACCACUGUGCAGCAAUACUGGAACUUCUCUGAUGUUCUAAUUAUGGCUAUUUUGUUAGGCACUUCUGCACAAUAUUUGCUUAAAUAUCUACUGGACCAGAUUUUCUUACAGAGAGAAUUUUAUUUAAUAAAAA